UACGUAGGGUGCAAGCGUUGUUCGGAAUCAUUGGGCGUAAAGCGCGUGUAGGCGGUUAGUUAAGUCGGGUGUGAAAUCCCUAGGCUCAACCAAGGAAGUGCAUCCGAAACUAAUUGGCUAGAAGACGGUAGAGGAAGGUGGAAUUCCAAGUGUAGAGGUGAAAUUCGUAGAUAUUUGGAGGAAUACCGGUGGCGAAAGCGGCCUUCUGGACCGUUCUUGACGCUGAGACGCGAAAGCGUGGGGAGCAAACAG
rnacentral:rRNA from 1 species